GAUGAACGCUGGCGGCGUGCCUAAUACAUGCAAGUCGAGCGAACGGACGAGAAGCUUGCUUCUCUGAUGUUAGCGGCGGACGGGUGAGUAACACGUGGAUAACCUACCUAUAAGACUGGGAUAACUUCGGGAAACCGGAGCUAAUACCGGAUAAUAUUUUGAACCGCAUGGUUCAAAAGUGAAAGACGGUCCUGCUGUCACUUAUAGAUGGAUCCGCGCUGCAUUAGCUAGUUGGUAAGGUAACGGCUUACCAAGGCAACGAUGCAUAGCCGACCUGAGAGGGUGAUCGGCCACACUGGAACUGAGACACGGUCCAGACUCCUACGGGAGGCAGCAGUAGGGAAUCUUCCGCAAUGGGCGAAAGCCUGACGGAGCAACGCCGCGUGAGUGAUGAAGGUCUUCGGAUCGUAAAACUCUGUUAUUAGGGAAGAACAUAUGUGUAAGUAACUGUGCACAUCUUGACGUUACCUACUCAGAAAGCCACGGCUAACUACGUG
rnacentral:rRNA from 1 species